UACGUAGGGGGCAAGCGUUGUCCGGAAUCAUUGGGCGUAAAGAGCGUGUAGGCGGCUUGGUAAGUCCGCUGUGAAAGUCCAGGGCUCAACCCUGGAAAGCCGGUGGAAACUGUCAAGCUUGAGUCCGGAAGAGGCGAGUGGAAUUCCUGGUGUAGAGGUGAAAUGCGCAGAUAUCAGGAGGAACACCAAUGGCGAAGGCAGCACUCUGGGACGUGACUGACGCUGAGACGCGAAAGCGUGGGGAGCAAACAGG
rnacentral:rRNA from 1 species